AUUGAACGCUGGCGGAAUGCUUUACACAUGCAAGUCGAGCGGCAGCGCGGCCUUCGGGCUGGCGGCGAGCGGCGAACGGGUGAGUAAUGCAUCGGAACAUGCCCAGUCGUGGGGGAUAACACUUCGAAAGAAGUGCUAAUACCGCAUACGUCCUGAGGGGGAAAGCGGGGGAUCGCAAGACCUCGCGCGAUUGGAGUGGCCGAUGUCAGAUUAGCUAGUUGGUGGGGUAAAGGCCUACCAAGGCGACGAUCUGUAGCUGGUCUGAGAGGAUGAUCAGCCACACUGGGACUGAGACACGGCCCAGACUCCUACGGGAGGCAGCAGUGGGGAAUUUUGGACAAUGGGGGCAACCCUGAUCCAGCCAUUCCGCGUGAGUGAAGAAGGCCUUCGGGCUGUAAAGCUCUUUCGGCAGGAACGAAACGGUGGGCUCUAACAUAGUCCGCUAAUGACGGUACCUGAAGAAGAAGCACCGGCUAACUACGUG
rnacentral:rRNA from 1 species